GCCCUGUUUAUACCUGAUUAAAACAUAUCAAGUUUCAAAGGUUAAUACUGAAAUAUCAUUGAUUUUGAAUAAUUGGCACAAUUCUCUAAAUAUCAGCAAAUCUGGAAUCAUAUAUAGUGUUGAGAUCCAAGGUCGAUGUCACCUUAGCUUAAGAUAUAGUAACAAGUAAAACAUCAAACUGUAUAGAUGUUGAGUGUUAUUAGAGUCAAAUAAU
rnacentral:lncRNA from 1 species